rnacentral:lncRNA from 1 species
GGUUGGCAAGGCCCUCACCCUCCUGCCUUUGCUCCUACAGGAAGUGCGUGAGCGUGUGCCCCUUGGGCUACUUUGGGGACACAGCAGCAAGACGCUGUCGCCGGUGCCACAAGGGGUGUGAGAGCUGCUCCGGCAGAGCUGCGACGCAGUGCCUGUCUUGCCGCCGCGGGUUCUAUCACCACCAGGAGAUGAACACCUGUGUGACCCUCUGUCCUGCAGGAUUUUAUGCUGAUGAAAGUCAGAAAAAUUGCCUUAAAUGCCACCCAAGCUGUAAAAAGUGCGUGGAUGAACCUGAGAAAUGUACUGUCUGUAAAGAAGGAUUCAGCCUUGCACGGGGCAGCUGCAUUCCUGACUGCGAGCCAGGCACCUACUUUGACUCAGAGCUGAUCAGAUGUGGGGAAUGCCAUCACACCUGCGGAACCUGCGUGGGGCCAGGCAGAGAAGAGUGCAUUCACUGUGCGAAAAACUUCCACUUCCACGACUGGAAGUGUGUGCCAGCCUGUGGUGAGGGGUUCUACCCAGAGGAGAUGCCGGGCUUGCCCCACAAAGUGUGUCGAAGGUGUGGUGAGAACUGCUUGAGCUGUGCAGGCUCCAGCAGGAACUGUAGCAGGUGUAAGACGGGCUUCACACAGCUGGGGACCUCCUGCAUCACCAACCACACGUGCAGCAACGCUGACGAGACAUUCUGCGAGAUGGUGAAGUCCAACCGGCUGUGCGAACGGAAGCUCUUCAUUCAGUUCUGCUGCCGCACGUGCCUCCUGGCCGGGUAAGGGUGUCUAGCUGCCCACAGAGGGCAGGCACUCCCAUCCAUCCAUCCGUCCACUUUCCUCCAGACUGUCGGCCAGAGUCUGUUUCAGGAGCGGCGCCCUGCACCUGACAGCUUUAUCUCGCCAGGAGCAGCAUCUCUGGGCACCCAAGCCAGGUGGGUGGUGGCUCUUAAGGAGGUGUUCCUACAAUGGUGACAUCCUCUCAAAUGCUGCUUGUUGGCUCCAGUCUUCUGACAAACUGUAACAGGAACAAAAUGAAUUCUGGGAAUCCACAGCUCUGGCUUUGGAGCAGCUUCUGGGACCAUAAGUUUACUGAAUCUUCAAGACCAAAGCAGAAAAGAAAGGCGCUUGGCAUCACACAUCACUCUUCUCCCCGUGCUUUUCUGCGGCUGUGUAGUAAAUCUCCCCGGCCCAGCUGGCAAACCCUGGGCCAUCCUCACAUGUGACAAAGGGCCAGCAGUCUACCUGCUCGUUGCCUGCCACUGAGCAGUCUGGGCACGGUUUGGUCAGACUAUAAAUAAGAUAGGUUUGAGGGCAUAAAAUGUAUGACCACUGGGGCCGGAGUAUCUAUUUCUACAUAGUCAGCUACUUCUGAAACUGCAGCAGUGGCUUAGAAAGUCCAAUUCCAAAGCCAGACCAGAAGAUUCUAUCCCCGCAGCAUUCUCCUUUGAGCAAGCCGAGCUCUCCUUGUUACCGUGUUCUGUCUGUGUCUUCAGGAGUCUCAUGGCCUGAACGACCACCUCGACCUGAUGCAGAGCCUUCUGAGGAGGGGCAACAGGAGGCAUUCUGUGGCCAGCCAAAAGGUACCCCGAUGGCCAAGCAAUUCCUCUGAACAAAAUGUAAAGCCAGCCAUGCAUUGUUAAUCAUCCAUCACUUCCCAUUUUAUGGAAUUGCUUUUAAAAUACAUUUGGCCUCUGCCCUUCAGAAGACUCGUUUUUAAGGUGAAAGCUCCUGUGUCUGUGUAUAUUACGAGCCUACAUGACACAGUUGGAUUUAUUCUGCCAAACCUGUGUAGGCAUUUUAUAAGCUACAUGUUCUAAUUUUUACCGAUGUUAAUUAUUUUGACAAAUAUUUCAUAUAUUUUCAUUGAAAUGCACAGAUCUGCUUGAUCAAUUCCCUUGAAUAGGGAAGUAACAUUUGCCUUAAAUUUUUUCGACCUCAUCUUUCUCCAUAUUGUCCCGCUCCCCUGUUUGACGACAGUGCAUUUGCCUUGUCACCUGUGAGCUGGAGAGAACCCAGAUGUUGUUUAUUGAAUCUACAACUCUGAAAGAGAAAUCAAUGAAGCAAGUACAAUGUUAACCCUAAAUUAAUAAAAGAGUUAACAUCCCAUGG